rnacentral:rRNA from 1 species
UACGGAGGGUGCAAGCGUUAAUCGGAAUUACUGGGCGUAAAGCGCACGCAGGUGGCUGAGUCAGUCGAUUGUGAAAGCCCUGGCUUAACCUGGGAAUUGCAGUCGAUACUACUCAGCUAGAGUACUGGGAGAGGGUAGUGGAAUUCCCGGUCGUGAGCGGUGAAAUGCGUAGAUAUCGGGAGGAACAUCAGUGGCGAAGGCGGGCUACCUGGCCCAAUACUAGAC